rnacentral:rRNA from 1 species
UACGUAGGGUGCAAGCGUUGCUCGGAAUCACUGGGCGUAAAGGGUGCGUAGGCGGGUCUUUAAGUCAGGGGUGAAAUCCUGGAGCUCAACUCCAGAACUGCCUUUGAUACUGAAGAUCUUGAGUUCGGGAGAGGUGAGUGGAACUGCGAGUGUAGAGGUGAAAUUCGUAGAUAUUCGCAAGAACACCAGUGGCGAAGGCGGCUCACUGGCCCGAUACUGACGCUGAGGCACGAAAGCGUGGGGAGCGAACAGG